UUACCAGCUCCAAGUAGAGAAGUAAACCAAACAAAUCAUUGUACAAAUCUCGAAGUAAAUGCGCAAUAAAAGUCCCAACUAUUCGUGACUUUAUUGGUCAGAUCAAUGCCAACUAUUCCCAUACAGUUCUCAAACUGCAUAUAAACUGAACGCUAACAUUUCGGACGCUCCAACCUUUGACGAUGCAUUCCACAUCUUUCGUUCUCAUUCUUGCCAUCGUAGCGUUCCCAUCGGUGGCUUACGGUGGGCUAAGUGAAAGAAUCCAAGAAGCCAUCGCACAUGCAAGCCAAACAAUGGAGAAAUCCAUUCGCUUUAUGGCUGAAACUAAAGAAAGAAUGAUGGAGUUGUUGCAAUCACAUGUCGCCGCACGGACAAGUUUCCUGUCCAGCGAGAACGAGACUCUUCCACAAACCGGCCGAAAAACUUCCCGGGAAUGGGAGGAAAUCGUUAUCACGGUGGAUUCACCCGUCCAGUCAAAAGCGUCAAUAAGCCGAAGCUGUAUUUCUUAUAGGAGCUUUCUCUUAAUACCGUUGUCGUUGAUGAAGUUAUUCUAUUGACUAUGCAAAUACUUUUAAUUCGGCAAUGGCCAGUUCACAUAAAAAUAAGCUUGCGCUGGUAGAAACUAACUAAAAUGAUUGAAAAUUUAAACAGUAAAAAUAGACUGCUGACCCUCCUUGGGGGCAAACAUCCACUCACGCACCCCAAUGUUAGGGGGCCAGUUUUCUGGGGCAAACAUCUUAUCCGAUUCGUGAGCAAAUGAACCAA